GUUGUGGAGCCAUCCUUGAAAUACCACCCUGGUCAUGUUGGGGUUCUAACUCAGGUAUAACAAUACCGAGGACAAUGUAUGGUGGGUAGUUUGACUGGGGCGGUCUCCUCCUAAAGAGUAACGGAGGAGUACGAAGGUGCGCUCAGAACGGUCGGAAAUCGUUCGAAGAGUAUAAAGGCAAAAGCGCGCUUAACUGCGAGACCCACAAGUCGAGCAGAUACGAAAGUAGGUCUUAGUGAUCCGGUGGUUCUGUAUGGAAGGGCCAGCGCUCAACGGAUAAAAGGUACUCCGGGGAUAACAGGCUGAUACCGCCC
rnacentral:rRNA from 1 species